rnacentral:lncRNA from 1 species
GGACAGUGUCCAAAAGAGGCCAAAGACAGAAAAAAGGAGGAGAGGGCCUGAGGAAGUCAUAGCGCACCAGCAAGGAAGGUCUUAUGUGAGGAAAAUUGGACAUGUGCAUAUGACAUGCUUAGUUUGUGGAGCUCGUGGACACAACAAACGACACCAUUCCUCAGCUCAUAACAUUUCGGAUGUAAGUAAAUCAGUUUAUUUUUCUUCACUGCAACUGAAUCAGGUUAAAAUAACCAUGUUCCAACGUUGUACCGUAAGAGUUAGUUGAUGCACCGUUGGAGCCGGUGAAAUCUGAACAAGCAAGAGGAAGGAGUGCAAGUGUAAGUAUAUCAUUCAUUUGGAGUUUGGCCUCUGUUAGAUUUCCCAUAAUAGGCUAUAACAUUUGUUAAUUUGUCAUGUAAGGAAAAUUGACCGCGAGUAAGGGGAGUGCUCCAUCUAGUAGCUGGACAACAGCUACAGCUUCGCAGCCGCAUACUGUGUGGGCAAUGGUGGACAGUUUCCAGGAAUUGGACGACUCCGAAGCAUCGCAGUCGAGGGCAGCUAGAAUGUCUUCCAGACGUAGUGCAAAAACGAUGGUUGCUACUUCUCACCAAAACUGAACGUGUUCCAACUACCAUGCUGUUUUUGUACUUGCAUAGGAGUUUUCUCUUUUGGAUAAUAUGGUGGUUUUUGUUUAAGGAAAUAUGUUUUGUUACAGUAGAAAAAGAUGGUUGGUUUUAGGAUGAUGUUGCAAACUGCACUUGUGUUACUUUUCUGGUUUUGAAUAUUUCUGCUAUUGUAAUGAAGGAGUUCGAUUAUGCAAAUAUAUGUAUUUUUGCUAUAUUUAUGAAAGCCUUUGUUUCGUGUUACUUCAAGUUGUUUAUUUUACACA